AACGAACGCUGGCGGCAUGCCUAACACAUGCAAGUCGAACGGGAUCCUGGCUUCGGCCAGGUGAGAGUGGCGGACGGGUGAGUAACGCGUGGGAACCUGCCCAUUGGUCUGGGAUAACUGCGGGAAACUGCAGCUAAUACCGGAUGUACCCGAGAGGGGAAAGAUUUAUCGCCGAUGGAGGGCCCGCGUCAGAUUAGGUAGUUGGUGAGGUAACGGCUCACCAAGCCUACGAUCUGUAGCUGGUCUGAGAGGAUGAUCAGCCACACUGGGACUGAGAUACGGCCCAGACUCCUACGGGAGGCAGCAGUGGGGAAUAUUGGACAAUGGGGCGAACCCGUCGAUCCACGCAAUAGCGCGUGAGUGAUGAAGG
rnacentral:rRNA from 1 species